rnacentral:rRNA from 1 species
GAUGAACGCUGGCGGCGUGCCUAAUACAUGCAAGUCGAGCGAACAGAUAAGGAGCUUGCUCCUUUGACGUUAGCGGCGGACGGGUGAGUAACACGUGGGUAACCUACCUAUAAGACUGGGAUAACUUCGGGAAACCGGAGCUAAUACCGGAUAACAUUUGGAACCGCAUGGUUCUAAAGUGAAAGAUGGUUUUGCUAUCACUUAUAGAUGGACCCGCGCCGUAUUAGCUAGUUGGUAAGGUAACGGCUUACCAAGGCGACGAUACGUAGCCGACCUGAGAGGGUGAUCGGCCACACUGGAACUGAGACACGGUCCAGACUCCUACGGGAGGCAGCAGUAGGGAAUCUUCCGCAAUGGGCGAAAGCCUGACGGAGCAACGCCGCGUGAGUGAUGAAGGGUUUCGGCUCGUAAAACUCUGUUAUUAGGGAAGAACAAACGUGUAAGUAACUGUGCACGUCUUGACGGUACCUAAUCAGAAAGCCACGGCUAACUACGU